CCUAGUGGUUAGAGUGUAGAGGAGGCAGGUAGCCUAGUGGUUAGAGUGUAGAGGAGGCAGGUAGCCUAGUGGUUAGAGUGUAGAGGAGGCAGGUAGCCUAGUGGUUAGAGUGUAGAGGAGGCAGGUAGCCUAUUGGUUAGAGUGUAGAGGAGGCAGGUAGCCUAGUGGUUAGAGUGUAGGGGAGGCAGGUAGCCUAGUGGUUAGAGUGUAGGGGAGGCAGGUAGCCUAGUGGUUAGAGUGUAGAGGAGGCAGGCAGCCUAGUGGUUAGAGUGUAGAGGAGGCAGGUAGCCUAGUGGUUAGAGUGCAGAGGAGGCAGGUAGCCUAGUGGUUAGAGUGUAGAGGAGGCAGGUAGCCUAGUGGUUAGAGUGUAGAGGAGGUAGGUAGCCUAGUGGUUAGAGUGUAGAGGAGGCAGGCAGCCUAGUGGUUAGAGUGUAGAGGAGGCAGGUAGCCUAG
ensembl:lncRNA